UAAGGAAUAUUGCUCAAUGGGAGAAAUCCUGAAGCAGCAACGCCGCGUGGAGGAUGAAGGGUCUAUGACUUGUAAACUCCUGUAAAGAAGGAAAAAAUUCCCAUUAGAUGGGAGAUGAUGGUACUUCUGGAGUAAGCCCCGGCUAACUACGUGCCAGCAGCCGCGGUAAUACGUAGGGGGCAAGCGUUGUCCGGAUUUACUGGGUGUAAAGGGUGCUCAGGCGGAUUUGUAAGUCAGAGGUGAAAUCUUACAGCUUAACUGUGAAACUGCCGUUGAUACUGCAAGCCUAGAGUAUGGAAGAGAGUGAUGGAAUAUCUGGUGUAGCAGUGAAAUGCGUAGAUAUCAGAUAGAACACCAAUGGCGAAGGCAGUCACUUGGUCCAUUACUGACGCUAAAGCACGAAAGCGUGGGUAGCAAAC
rnacentral:rRNA from 1 species